GGGGGAUAUUGCGCAAUGGGGGCAACCCUGACGCAGCAACGCCGCGUGAAGGAUGAAGGUUUUCGGAUUGUAAACUUCUUUUAUUAAGGACGAAACUUGACGGUACUUAAUGAAUAAGCUCCGGCUAACUACGUGCCAGCAGCCGCGGUAAUACGUAGGGAGCAAGCGUUGUCCGGAUUUACUGGGUGUAAAGGGUGCGUAGGCGGCUUUGCAAGUCAGAUGUGAAAUCUAUGGGCUCAACCCAUAAACUGCAUUUGAAACUGUAGAGCUUGAGUGAAGUAGAGGCAGGCGGAAUUCCCCGUGUAGCGGUGAAAUGCGUAGAGAUGGGGAGGAACACCAGUGGCGAAGGCGGCCUGCUGGGCUUUAACUGACGCUGAGGCACGAAAGCGUGGGUAGCAAACAGGAUUAGAUACCCUGGUAGUCCACGCUGUAAACGAUGAUUACUAGGUGUGGGGGGUCUGACCCCUUCCGUGCCGGAGUUAACACAAUAGGUAAUCCACCUGGGGAGUACGGCCGCAAGGUUGAAACUCAAAGGAAUUGACGGGGGCCCGCACAAGCAGUGGAGUAUGUGGUUUAAUUCGAAGCAACGCGAAGAACCUUACCAGGUCUUGACAUCCAACUAACGAAGUAGAGAUACAUUAGGUGCCCUUCGGGGAAAGUUGAGACAGGUGGUGCAUGGUUGUCGUCAGCUCGUGUCGUGAGAUGUUGGGUUAAGUCCCGCAACGAGCGCAACCCUUGCUAUUAGUUGCUACGCAAGAGCACUCUAAUAGGACUGCCGUUGACAAAACGGAGGAAGGUGGGGACGACGUCAAAUCAUCAUGCCCCUUAUGACCUGGGCUACACACGUACUACAAUGGAUGUUAACAGAGGGAAGCAAGACAGCGAUGUGGAGCAAACCCCUAAAAACAUUCUCAGUUCAGAUUGCAGGCUGCAACCCGCCUGCAUGAAGAUGGAAUUGCUAGUAAUCGCGGAUCAGCAUGCCGCGGUGAAUACGUUCCCG
rnacentral:rRNA from 1 species